AGGUGGUCUCAAACUCCUGGCCUCAAGUGAUCCUCUCAAAGUAUGUGAGCCACUGUGCCUGACCUAAUCUUUUAGUAUUCUUGCAUGGUACUCAGACUGUGACCUUGUAUCCAGUAGGUACUCUAUAAAUGUUACAUGGGUUUUGUGGUAUCAAGGCACUGACUAUAUUAUUGAUUUAACAAUAAUAUGCAUAUAUAUUUACUCUCUGGCGUGGUAAAUGGUUCUGAACUGUUUAUAAAGGUUACUUUGGGUUUUUUUAAGGAAACUGAACUUUGAGGUUAAUCCUGAGGGAUAUGAGUAUCAUAUAUUGAUGAAAGAUUACAUUUAAUACAUUUAGAAAAGAAGAGGUACUCUAUGAAUUGGGGAAUGUGCAAUUACCCAGUCCUGUCUCUGCAUUUAGGCUAAACUGCAUAUGAAUCAGCAUUGUAUAGUGGAAAAACAAUGGGCUGUGGAGUUAGAUAGAGCUCUUCUCAAAUCUUGGUUUCACCUCAUACUUGCAUUGUGAUAGAAUUGUGCCUCCUUGAGCCCUGGUAUCUAAAUCCAUAAAGAACAGGAAUAAUGACACCGUCUUUAUUUUUGAUGGGACAGUUAGAUGACAUAUUGUAUUUACAAGUACUGAGCACAGUGCCCGGCUAAAAGUAGAGGCUCAAUAAAUAGCAGUUGUUUGAGUUAUUUUUUCAUGAUUUUGGAGACUCCCAACUGGUGUAUGACCCUCAGAGACAGAGAGUUAUCCCUGCCAUCUUCUUUGGCUGUAGCAGCUCCCACUAUGAGGGCACUGUUUCUUACAUCAGAACUUAGUCUUCUUGCUACUUUUCCAUAUGGUCAGUCCAUGCAUAGCAAUCCAAAAUGUGCCUUACAUGGUUUUUUUUUUAUCUUAACAACCUCCCCGUUUUUGUAUGUUUUUAGCAUAUUUUAUAUAUUUUGAUUUUGGUAAAACAUUUUGUAGUUUGGUAAAAUACAUAUAACAUAAGUUUGCCAUUCAUUUCUCUUGUGGAAUGAAAUUCAGUCAGCUUUCACCUGGCCAAGAUAGCAGAUCUUAUCUAACGGCUAUAAGGAUCAAUUCAGGCUUCAAAGCCAGAGUAGUUGUUCCAUCCAUAGCGGUGAAUGGAGAGAAAUGAUCAGCUCUUUCUGGACUCUUUUUAGGAAUGCUUUGUGGAUUAAGUGGGGACUGCUUUAUGUAGCCAAAAGUUUAGACCAAUCACCUCCCUCAGCCCCUAACUAUGGAUGAAGAAUAGUGACUCAUCAAUUUAUGUCCGGUCUUUCAUAUGCCCUCAGACCCAUGCUAUGUUUGCCAGUCUUCUCUUUCUCAUGAAAGGCAAUUUCUGCCUUAUCCAUAAUCUGCAACCUUCAAAUUGCCUUCUUGGCUAUCUAUAAUAGUAAGCUCUCUCUCAGUCCUUUCCACAGUGUUCUCAGAUUGUGGAGCUCAGGGCUGAACAGAAAACGCUAGUAAGGGGUGGCGAAUGUUGAGUACCCUAGGGAUGCUUUUUUAAAUUUCUGACUGUUUCUCAACUUGGUGCUGUUAAUUUGGCAGCCAUAUAAUAUUGCUGGAAUAUGAGAAGACUUGAACACAUAGAUGUGAAUUGAUAGAGGUGGCUUCAAAGUGCGCAUAUGACUCAUGGUUGGAAUUAUAAGUGUGAUCUUAGUGUAAAACCUGGGAGUUGAGGGAUAAGAAUAGCAGGGCCAAAAGCAGAGUUUUCAAGGAUUUGCCUGUUGGGAGAGGAAAGAAAAGAAUAGAUGGCAGAGGUAUUUACUUCGGGCUGGUCGGAGAGAUUAGAGGAAGAUUCAGAGGAUCACAGUUUACUGAAGACAAGGCCAGAAAGGGUGUUGAGAAGGGUGCAACUUGACAAUUAACAAUGUGGCACAGGAGGGAUGAACUCGGUUAACACAAAACUGGACUUCUUUCUGUCUUUCCUUUUAUUUUUUUUUAUUUUUAUUUUUUUCCUUUUAUUUUUAAUCAUCAAAAUGGAAAAGUCUCUCACUAUAAAAUUAUAGUAUAUAUUUUAAAUAUUGAUAAAACUUGCCCUCUGGAAAUGUACCUGAUUUCUACCAAUUGCACAUAAAAAUUCCUUUCUCUGAACUCUUACCAAUGUAGACAUUGUCAAUAUUUUGCCAAUGUAAUUUAUGAUUUGUAAAAAGGUCUUAUUUUGCUUUGAAUUGCUUUGAUUAUCAGUGAGUUAAAGUAUCUUUUAAUACUGGCCACUUGUUUUUUCUUAUUUAUGAAAAGCUUAUUUUUGUCUUCUGUAUUUUUUUCUGAGAUGAUUAUCUUUCUCUUUUUGUCAUGUGAAAACUUUAUAUCGAUACAUUGAUACAUUUGUGUUUAUGUGACAUUAUCCUUUUGCCUGUCAUGUAUUGUGUACUUUGUUACUAGUUUUUAGUGUCUUAUUGGUUUUUAUGCCAUAUAGAGUUUUAUUUUUUUAAAAAUGUACUCAAAUCUGUCAGUCCUUUUAUGAUUUCUGGUUUGGUAUUACGUUAAAAGGGUAUUCCUCACUCCAAUAUUAAAGAAUGUCGCUAAAAUUAAAAAAAAAAUGUGUUCCAAAAAAAUAAAUAAAUAAAUCAUCACAUAUCUAAAAAAAAAAGAGUGUUAUAUUUUCAUACAGUUUUUCUACCACUUAUUUUUUUAGUAUUUGUAUCUCAAUAUUUAAUCCAGCCAGAAUAUUUUUCAUAUAUCUUUUCAGGCAGGGAUAGUCAGUUGACUAAAAUCAUUUAUCCAUAAUCAUUUUUUACCACACUAAUAUGAAUGGCCAUGUUUGUCAUGAGCUGAAUUCUAGCAUAUGCUCUUUUCUGUCCUAGUGAUUUGACUCUUGCUGAAAGUGUUUUAAUGAUUGUAGUUUUCCUUCCUUUUUUUUUAUUCCUUUCUUAGAAUGAGAAAUUGUGAUGUGCCAAAUGUGUCAUAGAAGAAAAGGGUGUCGUAGAGUAUCUGUCAGCCUGUCUUCCAGACACAGGGGUCACCGUUAGAGGCUCUAAGCGAUGAUAAACAUCUUACUAGAAUGGUUCUCUUUUCACUUACAACAAGAAAUUUAGGCAUGCUUCACCAGCUAAGGAAACAGAUUUCUCUUUAUUUAUUCAUCUGUUGAUUCAUUCUUCACUCAUUCAACAAAUAAGCACCUACUUUGUUCUAUGUAUUGUGCUUGAUACUGACAUCUUGGCCCUGAAUAAGGCUGUCAGGGUUUCUGCUCUCAUGGAAUUUGGGAGAAACAGAUAUAAACAAAUAGUCAAGAACACAUCAGUUUUGCUGGUAAUGAACAGCAGCAACAAACACUGGCUUGGAGAGAGAGAGAGAGGUGUGACUCAUCUUGAGUAAAAUUGUCUUUUAACCAGUGAGGCAAAGAAACAGAACCUUGGUGAGCAAUAGUCUGUUCUAGAAGAAUGGCUAACCACCAGAUUAUACUUUUAUCUUGGAGAAAGGACUCAAGGUCACUCAUUAAAUCAAAAGACAUUACAUAAAUAAAGAUUUCCAGUUUGGAGGUGUUUAAGGGGAAUGUAGCAGUGUUGUUUUUGAAGUCUUUGUUUCUAUUCAGUAGCAUUACCUAUACCUUUGAUGUUACUCAGAUUCCAGGAUGAAUACAUUUUGGAGCUUCCUAAUCCAUUUGAAAAGGAAAACGUGUUUGUAACUUUACCAGCCUUAAUUUGGCCCACUGGUAGACUUGGCAGGCUUAGCUGCAGCAGCAAGAGUAGCCUCUGAUGUGCCCUGCUGGCUGCUUUUACUGCAGCCGAGGUGAAGCCCAUUAUUUCUGGGGAUGACAUUCCUUUUUGGAUUUUUUUUUUAAGUCUUAGCAUCUGGGGAAUACCCCAAGGUUGUGGUGGUGUUAGAGAAUUCAGUAUUUUGGGGUUUUGAAAUAUGUGAAAAGAACGUAUAUCAGUUGAAACUAUAAUGCACGGUUGAUUUUCUGGUAACUUCCAACAGCAUGCAAACCCUAUUCUAACAAAAUCAAAAGACUGUUUUUUGAGUCUUAAAGUAAAUGUAUACCUUAAAGCCAUUUUCUAAAUAGAGCUCAUUUUUUAUAACUCACAUUUGCAUUCAUGCUUCCCUUGAAUUUAGGCCAGAAUAUUUAUCUGCAAUUUAAGUAGCAACAUGUUAGUUAAGUGGUUGAUUUAAAGUAGCUGGCAUUUCAAUUUAUUUUUCUUUAUUGGAAAAGUUCAUCCCUUUGGGAGGGGUUGAAUUAGUCAUUGUGUAGUUUAGAUAACUCCUUUGAUCUGGGGACGAAACAUUCACAGGAUUUGUGGAGUCAUCUGUAACACUUGUGUGAUGGGCACAUCAUGAAUGUCUUAAUAGUUGUGAGAUUGCUCUUCACUGAAAAGUAUGAUGUGUGACUGACUCCACCUCCUCCAUUUUAUGGCAUAUCAUGUAGUGUGUAUAUCAUGCUAACCAUACAUCUUAAUGUUUGCACAAGAAUUUUACUCUGAGAUUUACCUUCUUAUAAGCUGAAAAGGUUCAAAUCCAUGUGGUUUCUUUUAUUAUGAUGAUCAAGAAUAUAUUUUCAUUAAAAUGUUGGUGACACUAAGACAACUAAAUUAGUAAAUAGUAUAUUUUGUUGAUUGUCUUCUAUGUAUGCAGUAUUAAAAACAUUAUGGAGGUAUACUGGACCCAGAACUUCCUCUUCCCAGUGGCUUAGUAAUCAGUCCUAGAUCUUUCAAGGUGUAUCAUUUAGUUAGAUUACUAAUGGGAAGUGUUGCUAUUAUCUAUGUUUUUUCAAGGGUGGAAAGAUUAUUUCUGUUGGCUCUGGCUAUUAUGGCAGACAGUAUCCUACAUUGUCUAGAAUAUUUUAAAAAGACUUUUUGCCUCCUUAUUUUCUAGAGAGGCCAUGUGUCCCAACCCUCAACUAAAAUUAGAGACUAUGGUGUAAAGGCUAUCCAGAUUUUUCUUUCCAGCACUCAAAAUGUCAGUCUUAAAGAUGCUGGGAUUCAAGUAAAGCUGGCUGAGGUGACAGCUUUGUUGUUGGAUCUGUUUUAGUGACUGACUUGCCCCUCCAAAUCUAAUCAAUAUCAAGCGAAAUUAUAGUCCCCUCACCACUAUCUUGGCAUUAAUUUUAUUUUCAUAUUGACCCUUCAUGGUGUGUCUUUUGCCCUUUUCGUUUUCAUUACGCUUAGUGUCUGAUGGCUUUUUAAAAUACAGUUGGCCCUCUGUAUCUAUGGAUUCUGCAUCCGCAGACUCAGCCAACCACAGAUUGAAAAUGCUGUAUGUGGGAAAAGCCCCUAGUGAAAAAUAAUACAACAAUAAGAAACCUACAGAUUUAAAAAAUACAAUGUAACAAUUGUUUACAUGGCAUUUAUAUCGUAGUACAUAUUUAAAGAGAUGAUUUAAAGCAGCAGUCUCCAACCUCUUUGUCACUAGGGACUGGUUUCAUGGAAGACAGUUUUUCCACAGAUAGGAGGAUGGUGGAUGGCGAGUGAUGAGGAGUGACUGUAAAUACAGAUGAAGCUUCACUUGCUCUCCUGCCACUCACCUCCUGCUGUGCGGCUUGGUUCCCAACAGGCCACAGAUCAGCCCAGGCUUUGGGGACUGCAGAUUUAAAGUAUACAGGAGGAUAUGUAUAGGUUAUACUAUAUAAAUACUACACCAUUUGAUAUAAGGGACUUAAGUAUCUGUUGAUUUUGGUAUCCCAGGGGGUCCUGAAACCAAUCCCCUGUGGAUACAAAGGGACAACUGUAUAUUAACAAUAUGCUAAUCUGAGUGGUCAGAGCCCAGGACAUUGAUCAGGUUAUAUUUACUAUGCAGCCAUAGAGUCUUCUUUCUUUCAUUUUCUUUAUCUUUGGGACUGGGCCAGCCUUGCCAUAUUGUUCUUCCUCUUGAGCGUUUCCUGUAGUGUAAUAAGUUCGCAGAACACUGUGCAACCCGGACGUUGAUCCUGUGAUCUCAUUCUUACUCUCUUUGCACGUGAUCCUAAAUAUGCUGGACACUGCUUCAGGUCUCUGUACUGUGUUCUUGGCCUGAAGAAGGGAAAAUCCCAAGACAUAGCAUUGGACUUACAGAAAGAGAGAGGCCCUUAGUUGCCCUUGAUCCUAAGCCAGAUGCCCUAGUCCUGCUUUCCUAGAUUCAUGCUUUGUGGUAUUUGGGUGCUGAGCCAACUAAUAAUAUGGUGAUACUUCUAUUUCAUUCAGUUUUUGAUUUCUUAGUCUUUUUUUAAAAUGUAAAUACACAUGGAAAGAAUGGUAAAUGGCAGAGUAGGAAUUCCUGGUCUUCAGCCACCACACUAUCAAAACCCCUAAUAAUUUCUACAUUCUAAGUGUUUUUAAAAUCUAUCCUCUGUUCUUCCUACUCCUUGACUUAAAUCCUGCCUUCAGUGUCUCUAGCUUGCACCUUUCCGGUCUCUUUGCCCUUGUCUAGUCCAUUUUCUAUGUUUCUGUCUUCCUAAAAUGCCAAUUAAACAUAUCAAUUCCCAGUGUAAACCUUUCAGUGGCUCCUCCCCAUCUGUACCAUGAAACUUAAGAUCAUAGCACAGAGGCAAUGUAGUAUAAUGAUUAAGGGUGGAGUUCUAGAGUCAAUCUGCCAGGCUUUAAAUUUAGCUUUUGUGUAUCAGCUGAGUGAUUUUGGCCAAGUCACUUAAAGAGUUAUCCUGAGGAUAAAGAGUUAUCCUCAGUUUGUACACCUGUAAGAUGGAGAUAACAAUAGUGCCUUCUUUGUAGGAAAAGAAUUCUAUGGUGACUAAAUUGCAUAAAACAGUGUAAGAAUAAAUGCUUAGUAAGUGUUAGAUCUCUGCAUACUUUGUUAGUCUCAUUUCCUGUUGAAACCUUUAGCUCUAACCAAACCAAAUGGCUUAUAAAUUCCAAAUGUAUGCUACUCUAGUUCAUUAAUCUGUAUCAUUAAACAUAAUGCGGCCUUUGCCCAGAACGCACCUUACCCUGUGUGCUGCCUGAGCACUGCCUUCCAUCUUAAGAUUUCACAGACCAGUCUGAACAACCUGAGUACUGUAGGCAUUAAGGAUUCAGCAAAGUACAGUUUGCAGAAAAUUGCCUUCAUGGAAAUUGUGUUCUAAUGGGUAAAGACAGACAAUAAACAAAAUAAAUAAAUCAAGGACAGGGACUAGGGAAGAGGAUAUUUAUAGGGUGGGGUUUGCAAUUUCAAAUAGAUAAGGCCUCAUUAUAAAAAAGGUGACAUCUGAGUAAAGAAGAUUAGUGGACAAGCCAAUGUGGGCAAAGAGUGUUCCAGGGAACAGCAACUGGCCCUGAUGCAGGAACACACCUGGUAUGAUUUUGGAAUGGUAAGGAGCCCACUAGGGCUAAAGCA